CAGCAGUAGCCGCGGUAAUACGAAGGGUGCAAGCGUUAAUCGGAAUUACUGGGCGUAAAGCGUGCGUAGGCGGUUUGUUAAGUCUGUUGUGAAAUCCCCGGGCUCAACCUGGGAAUGGCAGUGGAUACUGGCUCGCUAGAGUGUGUCAGAGGAUGGUGGAAUUCCCGGUGUAGCGGUGAAAUGCGUAGAGAUCGGGAGGAACAUCAGUGGCGAAGGCGGCCAUCUGGGACAACACUGACGCUGAGGCACGAAAGCGUGGGGAGCAAACAGGAUUAGAGACCCCCGUAGUCCCUGUCUCUUAUAU
rnacentral:rRNA from 1 species